rnacentral:rRNA from 1 species
AGAGGAUUACCCUGGUAGUCCACGCCGUAAACGAUGUCUACUAGUUGUCGGUUGUCUUGUACGACGGGUAACGCAGCUAACGCGAUAAGUAGACCGCCUGGGGAGUACGGCCGCAAGGUUAAAACUCAAAUGAAUUGACGGGGGCCCGCACAAGCGGUGGAGCAUGUGGUUUAAUUCGAAGCAACGCGAAGAACCUUACCUGGCCUUGACAUCCUGCGAACUUUCUAGAGAUAGAUUGGUGCCUUCGGGAACGCAGAGACAGGUGCUGCAUGGCUGUCGUCAGCUCGUGCUG